rnacentral:rRNA from 1 species
GACCCGUCUUGAAACACGGACCAAGGAGCUUAACAUUUGCGCGAGUCGCUCGGUCUUGAAUAGGCCAGAGAGGCGUAAUAAACAUAAUGGUAUGAUCUCUUUAUAUAAUUUGCAUUUCGGUGUGAGUUAUAUGAGAGCGCAAUACCGACCUGCUUUAUAUGUUUUCAACGGCAUUAAAGCGGAGUCUGAGCGUAAAUGUUAAUACCCGAAAGAUGGUGAACUAUACUUGGGCAGGACGAAGCCAGAGGAAACUCUGGUGGAGGUCUGUCGCGGUUCUGACGUGCAAAUCGAUCGUCAGACCUGAGUAUAGGGGCGAAAGACUAAUCGAACCAUCUAGUAGCUGGUUCCUUCCGAAGUUUCCCUCAGGAUAGCUGGUAUCAAUUAAAUCUCUGUAGCAUCCGGUAAAGCGAAUGAUUAGAGGUCUUGGGAUCGAAACGAUCUCAACCUAUUCUCAAACUUUAAAUGGGUGCGAAGCUUGACUUUUUUAGCUCUUAAUAUUAAAGUCUUGCUUUUAAGCAGUAAGAGUUUGAUACUAAGUGGGCCAUUUUUGGUAAGCAGAACUGGCGCUGUGGGAUGAACCAAACGUCGAGAUAAGGUACCAAAUGCCGACGCUCAUGAGACCCCAUGAAAGGUGUUGGUUGCUCUAGACAGCAGGACGGUGGCCAUGGAAGUUGGAAUCCGCUAAGGAGUGUGU